GAGUUUGAUCCUGGCUCAGGACGAACGCUGGCGGUGCGCCUUAUGCAUGCAAGUUGAGCGAAGCUUUUCAGUAGUUUACUACAGAAAAUGACUGAGCGGCGAACGGGUGAGUAACGCGUGAGCAAUCUACCUUAGUUACUGGGAUAGCCCGAGGAAACUCGGAUUAAUACCGGAUAUUCUUAUUUUUUCACAUGAAGUUUUAAGGAAAGGUCAGCCGAACUAAGAUGAGCUCGCGUUCUAUCAGCUAGUUGGUGGGGUAAAAGCCUACCAAGGCUACGACGGAUAGCUGGUCUGAGAGGACGAUCAGCCACACUGGGACUGAGACACGGCCCAGACUCCUACGGGAGGCUGCAGCAGGGAAUAUUGCGCAAUGAGCGAAAGCUUGACGCAGCGACACCGCGUGUGGGAUGACGGUUCUAGGAUUGUAAACCACUUUCAGGAGGGAAGAAAAUGACGGUACCUCCACAAGAAGACCCGGCCAACUACGUGCCAGCAGCCGCGGUAAUACGUAGGGGUCAAGCGUUGUCCGGAUUUAUUGGGCGUAAAGAGCUCGUAGGCGGUUCAACAAGUCGGUCGUAAAAGUUUAGGGCUCAACCCUAAAAUGUCGAUCGAUACUGUUGUGACUAGGAUACGGUAGAGGUGAAUGGAAUUCCGAGUGUAGCGGUGAAAUGCGUAGAUAUUCGGAGGAACACCAAUUGCGAAGGCAGUUCACUGGACCGUGAUCGACGCUGAGGAGCGAAAGCUAGGGGAGCAAACAGGAUUAGAUACCCUGGUAGUCCUAGCUGUAAACGAUGGAUACUAGAUGUAGGAACUGGAUUGACGGUUUCUGUAUCGUAGCUAACGCGUUAAGUAUCCCGCCUGGGGAGUACGGUCGCAAGACUAAAACUCAAAGGGAAUUUGACGGGACCCCGCACAAGCGGCGGAGCAUGCGGCUUAAUUCGAUGAUACCCGUAGANCUUACCUGNCUUGACAUAUAGGGAAAAGCUAAAGAAAUUUAGUGUGCGUAAGCGCCCUUA
rnacentral:rRNA from 1 species